rnacentral:lncRNA from 1 species
GCCACCCCCUGCUCCACGGCGCCCAGUCCCAUCGACCACCCAAGGGCUGAGGAGUGCGGGCACACGGCACCGGGACUGGCAGGCACGUCCGCCUGCAGCCCCGUGCGGGAUCCACUGGGUGAAGCCUGCUGGGCUCCUGAGUCUGGUGGGGACGUGGAGAACCUUUAUGUUAACCUUUAUGUUAACAUGAACCUUUAUGACACUGACCUUGCCAACUGUGUGGGACCUGGUUGAGGCCUCUUGCCACCAGCUAUCUCCAACUUUCCUGGCCAACUAUAUAAUACAGUAGAGGCAACGAAAAUCCCCUCUAGAACAUAACCUCAUUGUCCUGAGAACCACCACCAUCCACCACAAUGGCUGCAGCAAGCCCCGCCCAAGAUAUUUUCUAAAGAUGGAAAGACACAUUCUGCCAUAUAGCUACUAUUUGCUUCCACAUCUGUUAUCUGCUCGUCUCCCCUCAACUCCGUAUCUCAAGAGACUGACCUGCUUGGAUUGCGUCAAGGGCUCUGGCUUAGGACAGACCUCAGCUAACUAUGGGACUUGGCAGGAGAUCCAGCAGCAGGAGGAAAGUGAGUUCUCAGAUCUUCAGAGACAGACUGGAACUACACCACCAGCUUUCCAGGGUCUUCAGCUUGCUGGCAGAUUGAGGAACUUUU